UACGGGGGGGGCAAGCGUUGCUCGGAAUGACUGGGCGUAAAGGGCGCGUAGGCGGUUUGUACAGUCAGGUGUGAAAUUCCCGGGCUCAACCUGGGGGCUGCACUUGAUACGUAUGGACUGGAGUGGGGAAGAGGGUCGUGGAAUUCCCAGUGUAGAGGUGAAAUUCGUAGAUAUUGGGAAGAACACCGGUGGCGAAGGCGGCGACCUGGUCCUUGACUGACGCUGAGGCGCGAAAGCGUGGGGAGCAAACAGG
rnacentral:rRNA from 1 species